AGUGAACGCUGGCGGUAGGCCUAGCACAUGCAAGUCGAACGGCAGCACAGUAAGAGCUUGCUCUUACGGGUGGCGAGUGGCGGACGGGUGAGGAAUACAUCGGAAUCUACUUUUUCGUGGGGGAUAACGUAGGGAAACUUACGCUAAUACCGCAUACGACCUACGGGUGAAAGCAGGGGAUCUUCGGACCUUGCGCGAUUGAAUGAGCCGAUGUCGGAUUAGCUAGUUGGCGGGGUAAAGGCCCACCAAGGCGACGAUCCGUAGCUGGUCUGAGAGGAUGAUCAGCCACACUGGAACUGAGACACGGUCCAGACUCCUACGGGAGGCAGCAGUGGGGAAUAUUGGACAAUGGGCGCAAGCCUGAUCCAGCCAUACCGCGUGGGUGAAGAAGGCCUUCGGGUUGUAAAGCCCUUUUGUUGGGAAAGAAAAGCAGCAGGUUAAUACCCCGCCGUUCUGACGGUACCCAAAGAAUAAGCACCGGCUAACUUCGUG
rnacentral:rRNA from 1 species